GACGAACGCUGGCGGCGUGCUUAACACAUGCAAGUCGAACGGGAAGGCCCUGCUUUUGUGGGGUGCUCGAGUGGCGAACGGGUGAGUAACACGUGAGUAACCUGCCCUUGACUUUGGGAUAACUUCAGGAAACUGGGGCUAAUACCGGAUAGGAGCUCCUGCUGCAUGGUGGGGGUUGGAAAGUUUCGGCGGUUGGGGAUUGACUCGCGGCUUAUCAGCUUGUUGGUGGGGUAGUGGCUUACCAAGGCUUUGACGGGUAGCCGGCCUGAGAGGGUGACAGGCCAAAUUGGGACUGAGAUACGGCCCAGACUCCUACGGGAGGCAGCAGUGGGGAAGAUUGUACAAUGGGCGGAAGCCUGAUGCAGCAACGCCGCGUGCGGGAUGACGGCCUUCGGGUUGUAAACCGCUUUCGCCUGUGACGAAGCGUGAGUGACGGUAAUGGGUAAAGAAGCACCGGCUAACUACGUG
rnacentral:rRNA from 1 species